GCGAUAUGCGUCAUGGUGGCGCGCGGCUGGAUGAAAGAGGCUCAAAGGCUGUUACAGCUUAAAUCUAAAACUAAUUAUUGCUCCACUCAUUGAGGACUUAAAGACAGAUCGACAGACUCCAGGUUGGGAACCACAGCCUUAGACCACCGGUGUAUCAGGAUAACCACCUGCUUCCUGAGUGUCACAUGACUUUGCAACCAGUCACCAGAUUUUAUGAAGAAAAUUAAGCACUGUCUAACUUCAUGCUGACAGUCAGUAAAGUAUUGAUUUACAUUUUAUUUCUCGUCUUUUCUCUGUCCAAAUGAGGUGCAGACACGAGUUUUACAGCCAGAUUCCGAAGCUACUGCACAUUUACAAGUUGGUUAUUUCUGUUCUGCUGUCUGGAGGUCUUGUGGUUUAAUCAGAUCACCUGUAUUGAUUGGUCAUUUUUGUCAAACUGACACGACUGAUGAGAAACGUAGAUUGUGCCUUAGCUCAAAUUCAAGGACAAACUUUUCAGAGUGUAACAAGUCCGUAAACUUUUACCCACUUGGACGGAAGGCAAGUUUUAUCAAGAGAAGUCAAAGUUCACAAAAUUCUCAGCUGCGUGUCUGUCUAAGCGGAUUGGUUCAAACCUCACCUGAUUCUGACGUUCUGAAGUCUUCUGCCAUGUCACAACACAUAUCAAACAAGCAGGGGAGCAACGGAAGUGUCAUGAUAUCUUUCUUUAUUAGCCACGUGUAUGUUAUAAUAUGAGUUCAGACAUGCAUCAACAUGAAUACAGAUUGAUUAUUUAGCUGAAAACACUUGUGCCGAUCUGAUAACCUGGCAUUAAAGUCUAUUAAUCAAGUAUACCUCUGGAGGGAUAUUUCAUGAAUUUUCUGGCACUUGCGCUUACGUUGCAUAAUCACAUUUGUUCUUCAUAAUAAAAUGACAUGCAGAAGCAUUUUGGGCCUCUGGAUUUCUCCAGAAGACAGACAGACAGAGAGCUCACAAAUGCACAGGUGAAGCUGAUGUAGUGACAGUGGCCAUAAUGAGACCUACAUGUUAUCUGUAUCAAAAAGCAAAUGCAUUUCACAUCAACAACAAAAAAGUGUCAUUUUAAUAACCAAACAUCUGUAAGUGUCCCAUUUCUGAUGCACAGUUAUAUGCACAAUAACACAAGUAAAAUGAAUGUUUUGGUGAUGCAAACACUCGAACGACAUGGUCACAUAGAUCAGCUGAUAACACAUUACAUGAUCCCAUAUGAGAGCAAAGAGCAACAUAGGGAAAAGAGGUCAGAGACAGAAAAGUGGGAAUUUCCUCCGUUGGGUCUGAGCAUGGAGACACACUUCAUUACAACAUUACCGUCUUAAUUGAUCCUAACAAUUACAAGGGUUUUAUCUGCUCCAUAAAAUCUGAUAAUCACUCUAUUCAAUUAUUACCGCAUGUCAGGUACAGUAAGGUUUAUUUAUUAUGUGAUACAGUUUAUGAUAUGAUAACAGUGAAAAUGACAGCUUCCUGGUUUUGUUUAGUGGUCACUCAUUAUUACAAAGAGCCCCAAGGUCAACAUCCAUGUUGGUCACCUGAAAACUGCUGGAAAUGUAGCUUGCACAUUGCACUUUGGGACAAACUACAUAAAAGCAAAAGGAUAAUAUCUGUCUACCCGUGCUUACUGGAAGACAGUAUUCUACAGGGAGAACAAUAGAGAAAAUACAUAGAACAGGGGGAGA